UACGAAGGGGGCUAGCGUUGCUCGGAAUCACUGGGCGUAAAGGGUGCGUAGGCGGGUCUUUAAGUCAGGGGUGAAAUCCUGGAGCUCAACUCCAGAACUGCCUUUGAUACUGAAGAUCUUGAGUUCGGGAGAGGUGAGUGGAACUGCGAGUGUAGAGGUGAAAUUCGUAGAUAUUCGCAAGAACACCGGUGGCGAAGGCGGCUCACUGGCCCGAUACUGACGCUGAGGCACGAAAGCGUGGGAGCAAACAGGG
rnacentral:rRNA from 1 species